AUCUACAGCCAUACCAUCCUGAACAUCCCUAUCUCGUCUGAGCUCAAAAGCUAAGCAGGGGCAAGCCUGGUUAGUACUUAGAUGGGAGACCUCCUGGGAAUACUGAGUGCUGUAGGCU
ensembl:rRNA 5S_rRNA 5S ribosomal RNA